UACGUAGGUGACAAGCGUUGUCCGGAUUUACUGGGCGUAAAGAGCGCGCAGGCGGUCGAUCAAGUCGAGUGUGAAAGCCCCCGGCUCAACUGGGGAGGGUCAUUCGAUACUGAUCGACUCGAAGGCAGGAGAGGGUAGUGGAAUUCCCGGUGUAGUGGUGAAAUGCGUAGAUAUUGGGAAGAACACCAGUGGCGAAGGCGGCUAACUGGUCCGGUACUGACGCUGAGGUGCGAAAGCGUGGGGAGCAAACAGG
rnacentral:rRNA from 1 species